GCGCAGCAGGCGAGAAUACUUUACAAUGUGCGAAAGCACGAUAAGGGAACUCUGAGUGCCUCCUAAGGAGGCUGUUCAGGUGUCUAAAAGCACCUGGAGUAAGGGCUGGGUAAGACCGGUGCCAGCCGCCGCGGUAACACCGGCAGCCCAGGUGGUAGCCACUUUUAUUGGGUCUAAAGCGUCCGUAGCCGGUUGAGUAAGUUCCUUGGGAAAUUUGGCUGCUCAACAGUCAAGCUUCCAGGGAAUACUGCUCGACUUGGGACUGGGAGAGGUCAGAGGUACUCCAGGGGUAGGGGUGAAAUCCAUUAAUCCCUGGGGACCACCGGUAGCGAAGGCGUCUGACCAGACCAGGUCCGACGGUGAGGGACGAAGGCUAGGGUCGCGAACCGGAUUAGAUA
rnacentral:rRNA from 1 species